AUCCAGCUCACGAGUCCCAAAUAGGACGAAACGCGCGUCAAACUGGAU
rfam:Schistosoma mansoni strain Puerto Rico chromosome 6, complete genome